rnacentral:tRNA from 15 species
GUGCCUAUGGUGUAACGGUUAACACUCAAGUUUGUGGAACUUGCAAUUCGGGUUCGAUUCCCGAUAGGCACCCCA